UACAGAGGAUGCAAGCGUUAUCCGGAAUGAUUGGGCGUAAAGCGUCUGUAGGUGGCUUUUUAAGUCCGCCGUCAAAUCCCAGGGCUCAACUCUGGACAGGCGGUGGAAACUACCAAGCUGGAGUACGGUAGGGGCAGAGGGAAUUUCCGGUGGAGCGGUGAAAUGCGUAGAUAUCGGAAGGAACGCCGGUGGCGAAAGCGACGUGCUGGACCCUUUCUGACGCUGAGGCGCGAAAGCCAGGGGAGCAAACGGG
rnacentral:rRNA from 1 species